AAUAAAACAAAAUGUAUCCAUUUUUCUUUAUCUGCAUUUAUCCACAGGGUGGAAAGCAUUAGUAAUUUUUCUUAACUUUUGUGAAAUCAGCACUUAACCCUGAGUGCCAGAGAACUGUAAACAAUGGAUCAACGAACAUUAUAUGGCACACAAAAUUUAAGUACACAUGCUCUAAGCCCAUCACAUGCCAAGACACAUUGACUGAUGAUAGCUACAGAACUAUGUUCAACAUUUCUAAUACUAAGAAAUUCAUGGAAAGCAAGUAUUCAAACAAGCAUGAACUUUGUACGGGGUAAACAGUGAAAAGCAUGUUUAACGUCAGAAUCCCUUAAUCUGAAGCUGAGUAGUUUUAUGAUGAGAUGUCUAUAUAGAUUUAAACAAUUUAAACUGAACUUCAUAUCUCAAU